ACUCCACUUGGCCUCUAUCAUAUAUACAUACACAUUAUGAACCAGCUGGUGGCAUAAUCACUGGAUCUGACUCCCGAAAUGAAUCCCAUGCAUUUCUCGCAAGACUCUGAUGGCUCAUGAGUUUCUCAUCUCGUACCCAUGAAUUGGAUCAAAGGAAGAUGUUAUGUGCAUUUCCUUGUAGACCCUAUGGACUCCAUUUCGGGAGUGAGAGCUAGUGAUUAUGCCAGCGCAGCUCUCGAUGCAAAAGCCUCAGAUGAUGAUCAGUCAUGCAAUACAUAGGAUGCUAUUCAUGUGAUAGAGACGCAAAAUCAUUAACUAAUGAAUCAGAAUAUAUAUUAGUGCAUGGAGGGUAAUAAUAAAAUAUUCUCUUUCUCAUUUUUCUACAAAUAAGGUUUUUUUUUUUAAUAAAAAGGAGAAGUUUUCUUACAUGGAUUGAGAAAUGACAAAAUGAAAGUUGCUCCCACGUGCACGAGACAUUGGACAUAUAAAAGCAUUAAUUAUUUUCUUCUUUGUUUCAUUGACGUGCGAGAGAGUGCUGGAAAACAUCCUGGCGUGGGAAUGACAGUGAUGGAUCACCACCGGACACCACCACCAGAAUAUUCAUUCAGUGUUCAACUGUGGAGGAGUCACAGAAGGAAAAGGAAGAAAGAAUGAGAUUCAUGGAUUAAACGGAGGUAAUGAUGUAAAUUUACAUUAUAAUUGUUUGAAAUUUUAAUCAUUAUUUUUAAGAUAUUCCCUUAGCAUUCUUAUCUAAGUUAAAUAUAAUUAUUUUAUAUUAUUGACUAUGUAAUUUUAU